GCUGUGGAGAGCAAAAACAAAUACAAGUAGAUAUUUUACCAAAAGUAUGUUCGUUGAAUCAGCAA
rnacentral:sRNA from 12 species